rnacentral:rRNA from 1 species
AACAGGAUUAGAUACCCUGGUAGUCCACGCUGUAAACGAUGUCGACUUGGAGGUUGUGCCCUUGAGGCGUGGCUUCCGGAGCUAACGCGUUAAGUCGACCGCCUGGGGAGUACGGCCGCAAGGUUAAAACUCAAAUGAAUUGACGGGGGCCCGCACAAGCGGUGGAGCAUGUGGUUUAAUUCGAUGCAACGCGAAGAACCUUACCUACUCUUGACAUCCAGAGAAUUUGCUAGAGAUAGCUUAGUGCCUUCGGGAACUCUGAGACAGGUGCUGCAUGGCUGUCGUCAGCUCGUGUUGUGAAAUGUUGGGUUAAGUCCCGCAACGAGCGCAACCCUUAUCCUUUGUUGCCAGCGAGUAAUGUCGGGAACUCAAAGGAGACUGCCGGUGAUAAACCGGAGGAAGGUGGGGAUGACGUCAAGUCAUCAUGGCCCUUACGAGUAGGGCUACACACGUGCUACAAUGGCAUAUACAAAGAGAAGCGAACUCGCGAGAGCAAGCGGACCUCAUAAAGUAUGUCGUAGUCCGGAUUGGAGUCUGCAACUCGACUCCAUGAAGUCGGAAUCGCUAGUAAUCGUAGAUCAGAAUGCUACGGUGAAUACGUUCCCGGGCCUUGUGCACACCGCCCGUCACACCAUGGGAGUGGGUUGCAAAAGAAGUAGGUAGCUUAACCUUCGGGAGGGCGCUUACCACUUUGUGAUUCAUGACUGGGGUGAAGUCGUAACAAGGUAACC